rnacentral:lncRNA from 1 species
CCUCCUAGGAGAAUCUCAUACUAAUGCUACAAUAUAUUUUUUCUUAAUUGAUUGCUACAUAAAUAUGAUCCCACACCUGUUUUUAAUUCAUUUGGGGUUUGAAAAAAGUGGAUCCAACAUGAUAUAAUCACAAUCACAUGGGUUUACAGAUUAGAAUUUGAUUUAUAGAUUUUAAGAACCAAAAAGAAAAAAAUAAAAUCAGAGAGACAUAGUGAUGAGCAUAAAUUAUAAAUAGCAUGUGAGUGCGGC